GACGAACGCUGGCGGCGUGCUUAACACAUGCAAGUCGAACGGAAAGGCCCUGCUUUUGUGGGGUGCUCGAGUGGCGAACGGGUGAGUAACACGUGAGUAACCUGCCCUUGACUUUGGGAUAACUUCAGGAAACUGGGGCUAAUACCGGAUAGGAGCUCCUGCUGCAUGGUGGGGGUUGGAAAGUUUCGGCGGUUGGGGAUGGACUCGCGGCUUAUCAGCUUGUUGGUGAGGUAGUGGCUUACCAAGGCUUUGACGGGUAGCCGGCCUGAGAGGGUGACCGGCCACAUUGGGACUGAGAUACGGCCCAGACUCCUACGGGAGGCAGCAGUGGGGAAUAUUGCACAAUGGGCGGAAGCCUGAUGCAGAAACGCCGCGUGCGGGAUGACGGCCUUCGGGUGGUAAACCGCUUUCGCCUGUGACGAAGCGUGAGUGACGGUAAUGGGUAAAGAAGCACCGGCUAACUACGUG
rnacentral:rRNA from 1 species